rfam:Heligmosomoides polygyrus genome assembly, scaffold: HPBE_scaffold0007046
GCAUCGGUGGUUCAGUGGUAGAAUACUCGCCUGCCACGCGGGCGGGCUGGGUUCGAUUCCCGGCCGAUGCA